GGGGGAUAUUGCGCAAUGGGGGCAACCCUGACGCAGCAACGCCGCGUGAAGGAUGAAGGUUUUCGGAUUGUAAACUUCUUUUAUUAAGGACGAAAAAUGACGGUACUUAAUGAAUAAGCUCCGGCUAACUACGUGCCAGCAGCCGCGGUAAUACGUAGGGAGCAAGUGUUGUCCGGAUUUACUGGGUGUAAAGGGUGCGUAGGCGGCUUUGCAAGUCAGAUGUGAAAUCUAUGGGCUCAACCCAUAAACUGCAUUUGAAACUGUAGAGCUUGAGUGAAGUAGAGGCAGGCGGAAUUCCCCGUGUAGCGGUGAAAUGCGUAGAGAUGGGGAGGAACACCAGUGGCGAAGGCGGCCUGCUGGGCUUUAACUGACGCUGAGGCACGAAAGCGUGGGUAGCAAACAGGAUUAGAUACCCUGGUAGUCCACGCUGUAAACGAUGAUUACUAGGUGUGGGGGGUCUGACCCCUUCCGUGCCGGAGUUAACACAAUAAGUAAUCCACCUGGGGAGUACGGCCGCAAGGUUGAAACUCAAAGGAAUUGACGGGGGCCCGCACAAGCAGUGGAGUAUGUGGUUUAAUUCGAAGCAACGCGAAGAACCUUACCAGGUCUUGACAUCCAACUAACGAAGUAGAGAUACAUUAGGUGCCCUUCGGGGAAAGUUGAGACAGGUGGUGCAUGGUUGUCGUCAGCUCGUGUCGUGAGAUGUUGGGUUAAGUCCCGCAACGAGCGCAACCCUUGCUAUUAGUUGCUACGCAAGAGCACUCUAAUAGGACUGCCGUUGACAAAACGGAGGAAGGUGGGGACGACGUCAAAUCAUCAUGCCCCUUAUGACCUGGGCUACACACGUACUACAAUGGAUGUUAACAGAGGGAAGCAAGACAGCGAUGUGGAGCAAACCCCUAAAAACAUUCUCAGUUCAGAUUGCAGGCUGCAACCCGCCUGCAUGAAGAUGGAAUUGCUAGUAAUCGCGGAUCAGCAUGCCGCGGUGAAUACGUUCCCG
rnacentral:rRNA from 2 species